rnacentral:lncRNA from 1 species
UUUUGUUUUCUAUUUUUAUAUUCUUAUCUGAAAUGCAUUCCAUGCAGUAGUUGAACUUCCCGCUGUUUUCACCUUAAACUUCUAUUACGUAUUUUUGUUCAACCUCCCUCACAAGAAUUUUUGAAUUUUCUCGGGCCGACCACUUGAACUUCUAGCAAAAAAUUAGACUUUGCCUUUUUUUUCUCAUACGGAAUGCACACCAUGAAGUACAUGAACUUCUGGCUACUAUCAAUUUGAACUUCUCUCUAUUUCGCUUUAGUAACGAAAAAAGUAGAGUUUUUGUUAGACAAUGAACCACUCUAACUUUCUUACUUUAACUUCUUUGUGUAUUUUUUAGAAAUGUGAAAAUUAUAGUUUUGUUAGAAACAUUGAACUUCUUCGUUACUUUGAAUUGAAAUUAUUGUUUUUUUUUCUUUAGUAAUCAGAAAAAACUGAGUAUUUGAAUAAAUAUCAAACUGCUAUGCUUUUUCCAAUUGAAUUUCUUCGUUAUUUUGAAUUGAACUUAUUUGUUUUAUUCUUUAGUAACCAGAAAAAUCCGAGUUUUCAAAUAUAAUAUCAAACUACUACUUUUUUUUGAACUUCUUGUCCCAUUUUUUAAUAAUGAGGAAAUCUGAAUUUUGUAUAACCAUCGACCUCAUCCUCUUUUUUAUUUUGGACUUCUUAGUUUUAUUUCUUUUAGUGAUGGAAAAAAUCCUAGUUUUUAAAUAAACAUCGAGCCACUCUGUUUUUUUAAUUUGAAAUUCAAGGUUUUUUGUGGAAAUGAAAAAAAUCUAUUUUUGAUUAAUAGUGAACUUGUGUAUUUUUAAAUUUUGGACUUUCUUGGUAUUUCAAUUUGAACUUCUUAGUUUUUAGUUUUUUAGAAACAAUUUUUUUAAUAAACUUCGAAUCACGUCGUCGUUUCAAUUUGAACUUCUUGUUUGAUUUUUUUAAUUGAGGGGUGGGGUUGGUUAUUUUGUUUUUGUAAAGUUGUGUUGUUUUUUUUGUAAACUUUUCAAUUGUUUAUUUUUGUUAAAGUCGUUUUUGCUUUUUUAUAUAUUAACUUCCAAGAGUUGAUUUUGUUGCUUUUUCCAAAAAAAAUCGCAUCAAGGAUAUAUAAGAAUAGUUUUUUGCAUGCACAUAUGAUCGUUCUGUAGAUAAUAUACAUGAAGGAUGCGAUGUGUGAAAUUUUACCAAAAUUGAACGAGCAUAUGAAGUCGUUGGUGUACGCCCCAAGCCCUCUAUGGAACAAUGCAAAAUUUUGCAAUGUUUUUUUUUGCUAGGGAAGCAAGCAAUAGUCGUAGUAUUGAAGUAUAAGCUUCUCCCAUAUUAGUGUUUGUUCCAAAAUGAACAUUUUGAACAACGCACAACACGCAUUAUGAACUUCUCCUCAACCAUCUUUUUGUUCAUUUUUUAUUUUUGUUUUUACAGUACACAAACGGUGUCCCAACUCAUAUAUUUUUUCAAGUGACAAAUUGUUAUUUUUGGAAAGAACCACAUUGAGCUAUGAAUAUGUCUGAUCGAAAAUUCAGGUUUGGGAAGCAAGUUGUGUGUGUUGGGCAACAAGGGAUACAUAAUUCUGAACCGAAAGUGUUUGUUUUGCUUCAGGCAAUAUUUCUUUCAGAUUUAGUAUAAAGAUUCAGUAAGGAUUCAUGGAAUUAGCAAUAUUAAAGCAAGAAUACCCAACAUCGCUUGUGUAGAUUCAGCCAACGAAAACCAUACAUGUGGGACUUGAACUACCGUAGAUGAAUGACAAUAGUAGAACAUAUUUAAAUUCUUGGCAUGGAAGGUCAACUUUGUUCUGCUCUCCAGAGCGUGACGCUAGCCAACACACGUCCAGCAAGCCCAUAAGCACACAUGUCUAGUAUCCAGCAACAGCAAGGAAUGCAAACCACCGCGAAGAAAAGUGCAUAGCUGUAGUAGGACUUUGGCGUAUAGUUGUUGUAGAACUUCAUGCAACGUCUAUGAACAUCCGAAUGGUUGUAAAGGGGAAAAUGAGAAAUUUUCCUGUAAAUUAGACACACACAUGCACACCCCUGCAGUUUUAUCAAGAUUGUUAAAUCCAGUUAGCACAUUUUCACAUGAGCAACACAUCCACAUGUAGGAGCACGUCUGAUGUACCUGAGAACUCAUAUAUAUGCACCUACAGGAAGAGCAUCAAGUCUCAUAUACGGUUAAACAUUUUUUCUAUAUUCUUUGGUGCACCUGAACCUUUGCAACAUUUUUACAUAAACUUCUUGUUUUAUGGGAGAGAGAGCACUUAGCCGGAGAGGGUUCACCGUUUCUAAUGCCAGAAGAGGUCAUCGGUAGGGGAGGCAGUGUAGAAAAAAUCUUUGUGGUGUCCCGCAGCCGGUGUAGAGCCGAGUAGCACGCAGCCGGUGUCCUGCGAAGGAUCUACACGAGCGAGCAGGCGAGGAGGCACUGCACGCGGAGACGAGGUUGGACUACACGACGGUCGGUAUUGGACGGUGCAUGGGCCGCCUCGGCGCUCGAAGCUGCACUAGACAAAGCCCAGGAGGACGAGCGUCAUGCAGGACUGGUGCAACAACGUGGAUUGGGGCCGACAGGACGCUGGUGGCUGGCGGUGGAGACCAGGAGGCCGGACAAGAUGGCGUUGAGCCACUGGCGGCGUUAGUGCGGAGAAGACAUAGUGUUGCGAAGCAGAGGCCACUGUAGGGAGUGUGGACAGGGGAUUGGGAGAGUGGGGCUCACCGGCCCUAGGCGGAUCCGCGCGCGUCGAUGGUCGUGGUUACCGGAUCCUCGCCGGCGCCACACGAAGGUAGCGGUGGUUACCGGAUCCUCGGUGGCGGCUUGCGGGGCAGGCGGUGGUGGCUGGAUCCGAGGUGGUGGCGAGUUGGAUAGCUGGCGACGGCGUCUCUUGUUGGGGACAGGGCGGCGACGACGGAAGCGGUCGGUGGCGGGGCGGCGGCGGCGACGGUCGGUGGCGGGGUGGUGUUGGCGACGGGCGGUGGCGGGGCCACGAGGGCGUCUCCGGUUAGGGGCGGGAUGGUGGCGCCUCGCCAGUUGGGGGUGGGUGCCUGGGUGGUGCAGGGGAUCGGGGAUCGGGGAUGGGGUGGUAGUUUUAGAAUCGGCCUUUUCUUUUUGUUUCAGCGAUUUUCGGAGGAACCCUGCCGGGCCUUUAUAGGAAGUUGUGAUUCAAAUAACUAUUCUAAUCAUAGGAUUAGAAUAGUGCUAUUAUAUAUAUAUAUAUAUAUAUAUAUAUAUAUAUAUAUAUAUAUAUAACUAUGCAUACUGUUCCGAAGUUCAAUGUUCAGUUUACAAGCAGUGCACCAAAUGUUUAUGCAUCAGUUAUAGGAAAAAAGAUUAAAAAACCUAUGCAUAACAGAUGCAUCAGUGCUGAACAUGUCCAUUCACCAGUUCGACUGAAACUAUAUCAGAUACAAAAUAGACAACAAAGUUUAAUAACGCCUAGCGAUGCAAGUUCAACUUGUACAUUACCUUCAGUGCAUGACAUGUUACCCAUAUCAUGUAUAUGAGAAAAUGCAGAAAAGAUUAAUCCCAAAACUAUUGAAUGUCAUUCCAGAAACAUGCAAGGUGGCACACGUAGGGAGGGUUUGAUGAGCCAAGAAGAUAUGAGGCACCGUCUGGCUGGGUAACACCAGAAAUAGCACCUGGAUACUUCAACAAUACAUGCAGAUUUCAAGCUACACCAGAAUCAUGAGAAGCACGGACUGGUUCUUCUAUGCAGCAGACACCGAUAUCUAGGAAUACAAGCUUUGCCACUGCUGGGGUGCAACAAGGUCAACAAUGUCCCCAACAACAAAUAUUUUCCUUUCCUAGCGCAAGCAGAAAGGCAAGGACACUCAGGCUUCCACCCGUCACUCCAUCAACAUCAAUCAUCUGUGCUACAAAAGCGGUUGCGACGGGAAGACGAGGCCAAAGAGACAGGAAUGUUUGCCACUCUAGCAGGGUGCAAAGUAGAAGAUAUGAGCCAUAUAGAUAGGAGCAACCUGCUAGUGAAUCUCAGGGAAGACGACCGUACAAUGAGAGACGGAGAGCUUCAUCAACAUUGCUGCAUGUGCCGAGGGUGACACCACCCGCGCCCAUACACCAGGGUGAACAGCAAACACCGGAUGUAGCGCGGAGCUAUGCACAUGUAAGUAUCCAUUCAGAAAAAACAUACAACCACAGUCCAUACCCUAGUACUGUGACCACCCCAUCUAACAUUUUCAUCACUGUGUUUUUGUUUGCUCACUGUUGUGUGCAGCCACCUAACAUUGAAGCUUACGUUCUGCCAAGGCUAGAGAUGCCCUUUGAAACUUUCAAAGAAGCAAAGAACUUCUACAACGUCUAUGCAAAGCACGCGGGUUUUGCUGUCAGAGAAGACUCCAAGGUUAACACCAAGUCUACCUUUAUUGCACGUGCUAUGGAGUCUAUGAAUUGAAGGUGUCAGAAGCAAAUAGAUAGCGGAACAAGACCACAGCCAGGACUAAUUGCGGGGCUAAAAUGAGGCUGAAGAGGGAAAAUGAUGGAACACUUGUCGUAAAAGAGAUAAUCUGGGAACACAACCACAGGCUACAUCUCUCCCCCAAAUGCUUGUCUUCUUGCACUCCCACAAAAACUUUGACAAAACAAUCUUGGAGUACAUCAAGUACCCGUGGUUCAAAGGCACUGAACACGCGUAAAUCAUGAGCAUACUGCGCGGUGAUGACCCCGGUAGCUACUUCCCCGAAAUGAAUGCCAAAGACCUGAUUAACAUGUAAGUACAAACUUGUUCUCCUCCCAUAAACCCCCUCCAUCUUUUUUCCUCUGUCAGUACAAACAUAUUACGCAACACAUGACCUAAUGCCAGUUCAACAUGCAUUUUUGAAUGACUGUUCACUUUUAAUAUGCAAGAAAGCAAAGAAUUCAAGGAUGGAUGAUGUGGACGAUGUCCUAAACACUGUCAACUUAUUUAGGGAGAUGAAAGCGAUAAACAAGGAAUUCUUCUGCGACAUACAACUUGAUGAGUCCGACAGAGUGAAGAACAUAUUCUGGGCGAACGCAGGCUGCCGAGGGGCAUAUCAAGACUUUGGUGACUGCGUAACGUUUGAAACCACAUAUAAGACCAACAAGUACCAUAUGCCACUUGGGGUGUUUGUGGGUACUAACAACCACUUACAGACUAUAUUCUUUGCUUUCGCCCUGAUAAUAGAUGAGGAUGCAGAUUCAUUCACAUGGUUGUUCAAAAGCAUUUUGAAGGUGCAUGAGAGGGAAGGCUCCUUCAUGCAUCCUCACAGGUACAAACGCCACCCCCAAAGGAAAAUAACAUAGUAAAAUUAUUGUGUCGGUUCUAUUUGUAUAUAUGCACUACCAUCCGCUGACCACUCCACGUCUCUUUUCUCAUUACCAGACCAGUGCCCGGCAAUGGCUUUGGCGAUCCCAGAUGCUUUCGGGGACACAGUACAUAAGCUAUGCCGCUGGCACAUUAUGAAGAAGUACAGGGAACACCUCGCAUACCUAUACAACCUCCACGAAGAGUUUAACGAUGAAUUCACAGCAAUCCUCAACUAGCCCCUCAUGCCAACUGAGUUUGAGGCUGCCUGGAAAGCACUCAUAGAUAAGUACAACCUCCAUGAUGAUGCCACAACGGUGGCAAUGUGGAACGAGCACGAGAAAUAGAUAUCAUCUUACUUCAAAGAAAUUUUCUGUGCCAAAAUGACGUCCACACAAAGGAGUGAGAGCAUGAACUAUGUGCUCAAGAAGAACUUCAUAAGUGAGAGACAAAACCUGCACCGGUUCGUCAGCCAAGUAAACUCCUGCGUCAAAACCAGGAGGCAGACAGAGAACUAGGAGACAAUAGGUAACCGGGUAUAGCUCUAUCACCUGUCGUAAGACAAAAUAACGUGCUUACUAAAGUAAAUCUUUCUUAGUUAGACAAGUUUUUGCUGUGAGAAAAUUAAUAAUUUGUUCAUGACUCUUGCUUGCACAGAAGGAACAAAACACGCUGACCUUCUAUGGGUUUGACAAUCAGAUGGCAAAGCUUUACUCAUGAGCUGUGUACAGCGAGAUCAGAAAAAGGCUAAAACUAAGCACCCUCUUCACGGUGACAGAGACGGAAGAGCCCAGAAAGUACCUUGUGCACUACAACAAACCACAAAAACUGUUUGCGUGGUCUCAGCACGCGUUCCAGGUGGUUGCAGACCCCAUGGGAGAAAUAUUUGACUGCAAGUGCAAGCUGUGGGACCACAAAGGCGAGGUCUAAAAAAGAUGUUACAUACUGUAGUACUUAUUUUUGCAAAGUUUUUGUUCGAAUGAAAUGACAGAAAACAUGCACCUCUUUCAAAAAAUAGGUAUUUUCUGCCUGCAUGUCCUAUGCAUGAUGCAUAUAAUUAAGGCUGACCGUGUUCCAGAGAAAUACAUCCUCAGGAGAUACACCAAACACCCGAACAUCCAGCCAACAUUCAACAGAAAUGACUUGAGGACAGUAGCGUCAAACAAGGCCUCCCAAUACGGCAUUGAAAGCGCACCGCUGUAGCUGAACAUGUGGGUGCACAGAAAAAGCUUGAGAAGCCAUGAGAAAAUGGCGAGGUCACAUGUCAUCAUGGAAAGACUUGACCAAGAACUCGACGCCAUGCAUUCUGCUGAAAAUGACAAUGUCGCGGACAACGAAGCCAUUGAGCAGGAUAUUGCUACAAUCUUAUCUGAGAUGAACCAUCUGGGAGCUAUUGACCCAUACGACAACGAGGAAGAGGAGCAACAGCAACCAGAGCUUGCCCAUGUGCACACUCAAGAGCAACAACAUGCUCACGUGCAAGAUCAUGAGCUUGACGGUGCUGUAGGCGAACGACAUGAAAACAGGACAUCCUACCAGCAGCAGCAGGAAAGGGUAAUUAAACCACCCAUAUUCUCAAACACAAGGGGGGGGAUAAUAAGACGCAAGCAGCGAAAGCAGCAAAAGCAGCAGCCAAAAAGCCGCCACGCCCCAUCAGACGCGUGGAAUUCGGCCCGGAUGGCAAACCUCUCGGGAUAAGGGCAUGCGGAUUCGGCAACAUGGUGACCAAUCAUAAUUACCACACAUGCCCAUAGCACACAUAUGCCACUAUCAACAAGCAAAAGCUGUAGAAGUAGAUUGGAGCCGCCCAGGUUUCUACCAAUGGAGACGACUCACGUAACAGCUACACUUGCAACAAGUGUGGGGGGACCGACGGACAUAAUGCCCGCACAUGCAAAGUGGGCAAGGAGGUCAGUGGCGCUGAACAGAAAUAGGGCAAGGUCCAAAGUUCCAAGAAAUCAAAAGAAGAGGAUGAGGAAGAAGAGUUUGACAAGAAUGGCGACCAAUCAGAUGAAGACAAUGAAGAUGACAGUAUUGGGGACGAGGAAAAUGAAACUGACGAUGAAGCUGCCAAGGCUCAAGCAGGAAAGGACGCCAACAAGGGACAACAUUCGGGGCCAGUUAGAAGGAGCUCAAGAUUGAAGAAUCCAUAGUGGUUAUGCUGCUGCAUCAACUCAAAAAUAAGCUUGUACUCUUGGUUGCCUCGGUACACAAUGAGGAAUCAUAUCAGAAACACUGUCGUUACCAAAACUUAUUUAGCUUUAUCAUCGAUUUCUCGAUCAGUACUAUAGUUAAGAUAUAAUUUGUGAUUUGUGCCCGCUGGACCAGUGACAUUAUUACAUAAACCAUUUGAUAAACCUUUUGAAUGCAGUCACAAAUAUAUUUGAAAAAAUUGAUCUGGAUUUAUGUAACGUCAACACUACUAUCGACCAGUAACUCAGCAAAAAUUUGUUAAAGAAAAUUUAAACUCUUAUUGUAGAUCAGUAUUUGAAAACAAUCAGUACAAUUUGAGUUGCUUAACAACGCUUCAAAAGUUGAAGCAAAAAAUCUUAGUACUUCAUGUACUGUUCUCAUCCAUAUGUAGCUGCUAGAAAAUUAACAAGUACUACAACUGAAAAAGUUAAGAAGCAUCAGCACACACUUAUAUUGGUCACUUGCAGACUAAGAAUGAUAGUACUAGUACACUUGAACGGAUAGUACAUAUUUACUACAAUAAAAAGUACAAAGAAGCAUUAGUUCGCAAUCCCUCAAAGAAAUAAAUGUCAGACUAAGCACAUAAGUGCUACUAUGAAUGAACUCUCAGUACAACUUAGUUUACAUGCAAGUACUAUAGUGCUAAAAAUGAUACCAGAAGACCCUUGAGAAUAAUCACAAAAACAAACACAAAAAGAAGGCAAAAACUCAAUGGAAAGAUAACACUUCCACAAAACUCACAAGAACUACAACAAAAAGUAUCAGUCCACAUUACUGGUGGAGUCAAGUAUUAGAUUCAAACCCAAAAAAAAUUAAAAAUUGACAGCCCGAAGACAGGCAAGCCCUGACACAGCUAGAUACUUGAACUCGAGCCCACGACGGAACCGUUGGCGAAUCCCUAGUAAUCGGCACAACACAGGGCCAACCAACCAGGGCACACGGGUCAUGAGAGGGAGCGAGCGUCGUGUAUAAGUGCUCAGGUAAGUAUCCAGAGGAGUUCGACCAGUAAGACUCGACAGCGCUUAUAAACAGGUCGAGAGCCCCCUCGCUUAGCGAGGUGGGACUAAACCCAGAGCACACGCACAUCCAACAGUCCUCAAAUCGCCCGCGCGGGCCAUUUGGGCCAAAAAGGGCCCAAUAGCCUCCAUCUUCUCCAAACACCCCACCCAUAAGGCCAAUUGAAUAAAGCAGAGCGCGAGGCAAAGAAAUAUAAACUACAAAAAAAAUGUUCGAAAACUGGAAAUAAAAAAGUUCAAAUACUUGUUCGCAGGAAAUAACUUUAAAUACAAAAAUAAAAAUAAUUUUAGCUCUGCACCAUAGAUGAUAAAAAUGGAAAAAAUAUGAUAUAAAAACAACAAAACUUUGAAAAGUGGAGAACUUAAUAGGCUAUAUGUUAAAUGUACAUAAUUUAAACCAGCGAAUUAAAUAUUACUUUCAAGUUCAACUACUAAAAUGCAAGAAGUUCAAAUAGAUAUUGUUUGUCAAUUAUGCUAAAUUUCUUAUUUAUAUAAAAUCUGACUAGAGCUCAACUAACGAUUUCGUCGUAAAUAAUCUACAUCCCAAAAAAACUCAGUUCAAACAUACAUACGACAUCAGUACUACAAAACCAGGAAGGGUCAGGCCACUCACCUUACAUCCACACACCAUUGUGACACCAAUUUUCAAAACCUUACGCUAUAUGAAAUUACAAUUCAGUACCCACAGCACUAAACCAUAAGUACACUAAAAAGAGAGUACAAAAACUAUAAAGGCCUAACUUAGGUUGGGACAGAUGAAAAUAAAAUAAGUCCUAGUUUUGAGGAAUAGCUCACAGUGCAGUAAAAAAAGUUUUGAUAUCAACUAGUGUAUAAGACUACAGUGCAAAAAUAAGACUUAUCCUCCACACUAAAAACAUAACAAAGUAUAUGUCACUUAAACAAUACAAAAUGCCAUCAUCACUGACCCUGAGACAUGCAAGUGGGAUAAACACCUGAUAAGUAUAGCUUAACAAGACGGAUCAGUGCGACAGUAAAAAACCCUUGGCUUGGACGGUUGGUUCUUCCAGGCCACCACCCGCGCCACCCACUGGGCGGUUGCCACGACGGACUACAAUGGUGACCCCACGACCAGUACCCCCAUGACCGGGAAGAACCGCCUCCCCCACGUCCCAAACCACGCCCUCCAAAAGCCCCAAAUCGACUCCAUCCCUGCCACAUCUCUAAAAACCACCAUUGCCGCUUCGAUCUCCACUACAAACAACCCACAAACAUCUCUGUUCCGAGCCCACAGUCGCCAGGAGGGCAAUGGCAGAGGAACCAUCUGCCAAGCGUCAUCGUGGCGAGACGUCCGACCAGAGCAGCAACCUCGACGAUGUUCAUGUCCCCGACAAGAAGCGCGAGUACACCCGAACCCACACAGGGGUUGAGCUCCACGGCAAGGAGACACUGGAGAUUGUCUGCACCAGUGAACCAGACAAGGCUGACGAGAUGAUGAGCAGGCUCAGGAUGAAGCGCGACGGCUUGUAUCCUAGCUUCAUCGGAGUUGAUGUGGAGUUUACCAAAAAAGAUGAACCUCCCCAGAUGGCAGCAGUCCUGCAGUUAUGCGUGGAGGAACUCUGCUUGGUGUACCACAUUGCAGCAGCCACAAAAUGGUGAUCCAUACUACUCUUCAUUCAUAUGUUUUAUUAGUACUACUCCCUAAAAAUUUCAUUAAACUUGUUUCCCAACUAGAUGAACUACUGUAGUUUGUGAACUGGAUGCACGAGUACAUGUUUCUCAAGUAGAUGCGCUAUAAUAUAAUUUGAAACUGAUGCACUGGAUUAGCAUCUGAAAUUGUUUCACCAGAUUAAUUUCUGAACUUGAUGUACUAGCAUAGUUUCUAAUCUUGAUGCACUAGUGUAGUUUAUAUAGUUGAUCUAUUAAAAGAUGUUUCUAAACUUGAUGUACAGAAGUAUUUUCUGAACCUGGUCUGAUGUUAUUUUCAGCAGCAAAAAGUAAAGUAAGAAUUUGGUCAAGCACUGGUAUAGGUCUUUUAUUCAACAAAAAGAAAACUAAAAUUGAAGUAAGCAGCACAUAGAUCAUUUACUCUGGUUAUAGGUUCUUGAAAUUGGUGAAGCAUUUGGUGAAGCACUGAAGAUACCAAAAAAGAAAAAUAACAUGAUGUACUUGAAUUUAAUUUCAAAACUUUGUGUACUAGUUUCUGAACUACAUUCAUCCAUGACUUAUACUAUAUAAGCAUCUACCUCAUGGAUUAUCACUUGUAAACCAAAAAACAGAAGGAUUAAAUCUUCAAAAAAGAACACUAAUCUUCAAUAUGUGUCUCCCCCUUGCAGGCCCAAGUGCCUCAAAGAAUUCCUGCAGGAGCAGAAAUUGUACACAUUUGCCGAUUUCAGCAUUGAAGGUGACAAAAGAGAAGUUGAAGAUGUCUGGUUUGGAGAUCAACCCCAAGAACUUCACCGACAUUCAGCGCAACUGGAGAGUUCUACGCAUCGGAAAAGAGUACGACUCCUUGGCUGAUGUUGCAGCCAGUGUCAUCCACCCAUUCUACAAAAGCAUGAAGAAGAAGAUAGAUAAGGAGGAAGACCACAAACUGUGGGGGAUCAGCCCGCUCCCAUACAAGCUCAUCGAGUACACAGGAAUAGAUGUGUACGCCACAUACAAGUCAUGGAAGAUAAUUGACAACAUCAUAACAGGUUGGGAAAUUUCAAAAGAGGAGGAGGCUGACCCAUACUACCACUGCCACUACGCGAUAUGAAGAGACAUCAAAGUCUGCCUUCGUGUUGCUUGCGCUUAUGCUUGUCCUUUAACUUGUUGUUUCAAAUUUGUAGUUUGCUUUUGUUAGGUUGAGCCAGCUUUCUUAUGCCAUGUGUGUCAGGGUUGAACAAGUUUGCUUAUGUAAUCAAGUACAUCGUUCGCUUGUGUCAUUGAACAAGUUUGAUAGCUUUCUAUUUUGUUUAUCCAUCAUUUGAAGUUGAAGUAAGUUGUGAAUGAAACUUUGUGGCUGCUAUGCAACACUAGUCAUGGAGCAACAAAUCACAGAUGGAUAUUUUCACAAAAUAGUGGCAGACUAAAAACAAUAACAAAUAGUAGCCUUGGACGCUCAGUACAACUUUGUCCUAUAUUGUAGUACUAUCACACUAAAAAUUAGUUUUUAGUUUCAGAAGAACACUAAAAAUACUAAGUUGCAGCCGAGGACAACAUUCAGUACUAAUAGCAUCAUGCUUAUAGUCAUUAGAAAAUUACUAAGUACUACAACAGGAAAAACCAAGAACCAUCAGUACGUAUUUCAUAGUCACUAGCAUACUAGGUGUGAAAGUACUGGUACACUUGAACACAUAGUACAUCCAUUCUACAAAAAUAAAAAGGAACGGGAAGUGUCAGUUCGCAUUCCCUAAAACAGUGACACACUAAGAAUAAUAGUGCUAGUACAAUUGAAAUCUCAGUACAACCUAGUUUAUACGACAAGUACUAUGAUGAUACCAAAUAAUGCCUUGAGAAUAACCACAGCCUAGAAAAAAGAAGGCCAAAACUAAAUCAAAAAGAUGUCAGUUCGACCAAGGAGAAAAAACACAAGAACCACAACAGAAGCACCAGUCCAAAUUGACCAAUGAGGUACUAGUUUCAAACAAUACAAAACAAAAUGAUCAUGGUGCUAGUACAAUUGAAAUCUCAGUACAACUUAGUUUAUAUGGUAAGUGCUAUGAUGAUACCAAAUAAUGCCUUGAAAAAGAAGGCCAAGACUCAAUCAAAAAGAUUACAGUUCAAUCAAGGACAAAAAAUCACAAGAACAAACAACAGAAGCAUCAGUCCACAUUAACCAGUGAGGUACUAGUUUCAAACAACCAAAAAAAUGAUGACCACCCAUGGACAGGCCAACCAUGCACAGGAGGAUACACUUGGACUCAAGCCCAUGACGGAACCAUUGGCGAAUCCAUAGUAAUCGAGACUAUGCGGGCCAGCCGUCAAGGGCCAACAGGUCAUGGAAUAGAGAGCGAGCGCCGUGUAUAAGCGCCCAGGUUAGUAUAUAGAGGAGUUCAACAGGCAAGGAACAACAAUGCUUAUAAACCGGUCGAGAGCCCCCUCGGCUAGCGAGGUGGGACUAAACUUAGAGCACUUGCAUAGCCAGCAGUCCACAGUCAUGUGCACGGGCUAUUUGGGCAAAAAAAGGGCCCAAUACGACUACUACUCCCUCCUCUCCAAACUCUCCUCGCCCCACCCCAUAAGGCCCGCUGAAUAAACCAGAGCGCGUGCCAAAGAAAAUAUAAACUAGUACAAAAAAGUUCGAAAACUUAAUAUAGAAACGCUCAAAUACAUGUUUGCACGCAAAAUAAUUCUAAAUUCAAAUACAAAAAUAAAAUAAAUUUACCUCUUCAGCACAGAUAAAAGGAUUAAAAAUAUGCUACAAAAACAAAUAUACUUUGAAGUUCAACUAUAUAUGCUACAAAAAUAAUUAUGAACUUAAUAGGGCUAUCUGUUAAAUGUAGCUAAUUUAACCAGUGCUUUAACUUUUACUAUGAAGUUGAACUACUAGAAUGCAAGAAGUUCAAACAAAUAUUUGGCUCUCAAUUUUGCUAAAUUUCUUAUACAAGGAAGCAUCACUCCACUCAUGCUAGAUCCACAAAUACUAUUGUGACACCAAAUUUUAAAAGCCUUAUGUUGUAUGAAAUUACAAUUUGGUACUCACAGAACUAUACCAUAAGUACAAGAAAAGAGGGUACAUAAACUAUAAAGGUCCAACUUAGGUUGGGACCGAUGAAAAUAAAAUAAAUGUCACCUUUUCAGCAACAACUCGUAAUGCACUUGGAAAAAAGUGUUUUAGUUCAACUAGUAUAUAAGACUUCAGUGCAAAAAUAAAACUUAACCAAAACAAAUUCCCGAUAAAACAUACACAAGUGAAACAGCUGUUCAACCACAUUCUCAUCAUGGAAAAAAGUUUGUAAAACGUUGUGCCACACUUAAAAACAUCACAAAGUAUACCGGUUAUUACAUAGUUGACAAGACACCCAAACACUACAUACAAAGCCUACAAUGCUUUCAAGACAUAAAUCACACAAGUAUCCCAUUCACUAUGCAAAUGAUAACCAUUUGUUCUAUGCACCAGGAGCCAAAGCUUGAACCUCCUCGGGAAGCUUGUAGCACCCCAGCUUAGAGCAACCAGUUUACCUUGCAUUGCCAGCCUAGAGAUCAAGUCUUCUGGCAACACACAACAACUUGGUACAAAAAACAACCACUUUAUUGAUGCUAGCAGAAACAUAGGUUCAAUAUUACAUCAAGUAGCGAGGCCAAGCAGCACACACGGUGCGGCUGAACAAUAUGUACAUUAUUUAAUGAACAUGAAGGGGCCUCGAUCACGAUAACUACGCGACAGCGGAACGACGACGAAGCGGAACUCCAUAGCACAGGGACACCGAUGUGGACACGAUCUAGACACGGGAAGCACUUCGAUCCGGUAAGACUUUCCUGAAAUCUGGCAUGACACGCCAGGUCAGUACAUUGAAUGUACUUGCAAGCUCACAACAAGCAUAAGCAUAAUGGCAAACAAUAUCAUGACAAUUAAUCAAUUUAAAUGGAAUGCAAUAACAUACUACUAAUGUAGUGAAUAAAACUUGUGCACCGAGUCCCUCGGACUCUCUUACCAAACGGGUUACCUCGUAACCAAGAUCAUCAUACGGUGAUCACUCCCGGAUCACAGACGAACCAACACUUUGGUUCCGACGAUAACGACCAUCUUCAUGGUCUCACAAAUCCCGUCACAUAAUCAGUGCCAAGCAUAUAAGUUUAGUGUGCAAGAUUACUUAAUCAUGUUGAUCCAUGGUGUGAUCUACUUACGAGCUGUGUCCGUAACUGAGGAUGCGGCUAUCGAUAGAUUUAAUAAACACUCUGCGGAGGUAGUAGACUGGACCCACACUACGGAACCCAUGGCCGUGUCUCGUCUCUCUUCCGCAUGAGGCGUGCGAGCCGCGAGGUACCCCUCGAUGCUGGAAAGCCUCGUGGACCGCGGAGGAACGGAUGGGAUAUUCGGGGCUGACCCAGUUGAAACCCAGUGUGCCAAACGGCACUCUUGGGCUUUUAGGGGCUUUAAGCCUGACGGGGAAAUCCACUAAAAAACCCUGUGAUCGCAGUGUGCCAAACAAGGCCUCAUGCCUUGUUAGGCAGGAAGGGUUUUCAAGCCCCAAUGGGGCUGGGGAUUAUUGGGGAUUUGGUGAACCCCUCCCCGCACCAAAUCCCCUCAAAUCCACUUCCGCCUCCCAAGCCCCUUCCCCAUCUAUCCAUAUAUGAGUGUUUGGCAUGUAGGGACAAAUUUGGUCCAUUUUAAACAUGAACUUCAACAACACACUGGUAAAAAUCCGAUCUUUACUAUUGAACAGGCUGAAGCAUCAGUGGCCAUAUCAUCAAGUACUACUAAAAGCAACAAAUCAUAAUCUUUAAGAUCAAUGGCAUCUAAACUAAGAACAUCAAAGGCCAUACAACACGAUCAGAUCAUAGUUUAAACAUCAUAUGUCAAACACAGGCAUGCAUCAGCAUGUACCAACGACACCUAGGGUGCAACACAAACAUCACUUAAAUUCGGUUUCUGCUUCCCAGCAUAGUUUCAGUUUCGCAACGACAGGCAUGCAUCACUUCAGUUCCAUCGCAUCCCUGAAAGUAGCAACUCAAUCAAAACAUUAGACAUACCAGUCAAACAAUUCACAGCUACAAGAGUACUUCAAAUACUUUCUGAAGAAAGAAAAGUAACAGGGGGGAAAUAUGGCAUGGAGCCCGUUUCUUAUACUUCAUGAUCUAAAACAGAUGGACUCACUCUCCUUUGUCAAAAAGUAUAACAAAAUUUAUAUGUGAUGUACUUGAGCCAGAUUUAACUUGAUGCAAACAGAGAAAAGCAAGCUCUAGCAUCAGGUCACAUAGAUAUCUCACAUCGAGUACUAGCACUGGAAACUCACAACUAAAAAUUUAUACGUACAUACCAUAUAUACACUACAGAAGGUUGACAGAAACUCUUUGCAUAUACACUGCGGAUCAUAUAUAUGUACAGAUCAUAUCUAUGUACAUCUCAAAACUAAAAAUUUAUAUGUACAGAUCAUAUAUACAACUACAAAUUUUGAUUUAGUAUGAUUGUUCAGUACCAAAGUGUAUCUAUUUCUCUAACAAAAACACUACAAUUACUUUCUUGCUGAUUGCCCAACAUUAUGGUUUAGUUUCUUCCUACUAUUUGCCCUUUAUUCAAAUUAGUAUGCAUACAAAGCAUUCAUUCACAAGAAAAACAUGUUUGUUCCAAGCUAAUCAGGAAUAGGAGCUUAUGUAUAUUCUCAGUUCGGAGAUGAGAAAUUGAUUUCUAGCUAAUCAGGAAUAUGAGCUUAAGAACAAGACCAAGCAAGCAAGAACAUUAUGAACCAGAUCAAAAUACCUCUUCUAGGUAGGCAACUCAUCCAUUUCGCUCCGAAGCCACAUGACCGCACUCUCUUCUUGAAGUUUGAUGAACAUGUAAGAUAACAAAGAGCUCGCUAUUACAUUAUAACAAAGAGCAUCAUAAAUGUUUGUUCUAAGCUAAUCAGGAAUAAGAGCUUAAUUAUAUUCUCAGUUCAGACAUGUGCAUGCAUAUGCUCAGUUAGCAACCACAUAAAUAUACUACAACUAGUCAUCUCAGAUGAGAAAUUGAUUUCUAGCUCUUGUCUGCAUGUAUUUUACUCAUCUUAGCAAAUCACACCAGUAACAGUUAACUUCGACCAGUUUUGAAUUUCAUCAACAUCUAACACAGGACAAUGUAGAUAUAUUUUUAGCACAUAGUGCCAAAAUUAAUCAGAUUGAUGUUAUACCAAUGAAACUUAUGUGCAGCAAAAUGAUUCUCUACUCACAUUUCUGCACUACAUCCAAUUGUCAAUAUCUAAUACAAAAUGGUUGGCUGUAUUUUGUUACUUUGUUAUCAGAUAUGUACUAUAUGCUAAUAAUAAUGGGAUUUUUUUUACUAUGGAGUAUAAAAUCAGUACAGAAAGGUAGAGAUCCUACUUGAGCAUCUACAUGUAUAAUUUUAAGGCAUAGAUAAAUGACAUCAAAAAAGGGUUGGAGUUGUCUUGAAUAGUAGUCCAGAUCUUGCAGCAACUAACUUCAAAUAGGGGGAGGUGGAAUGUUAUGGGGAAGCAGGCAGAGGAACAACAGGGAGGGUCUCUCACAGCGGUUGUGCUGGAAAGGGGAGAGGAGCUGGUGGN